AGGGAAGAGAAAAAGAAAAGUGGUCAUUUUUGCUUGGAGGUGUCGUCGGCCUAGAGAGAAGGAGAGAGAGAGAGAGAGAGGCAAGUUCUAGAGAGAGAAGGAGAAAAAGAAGAAGAAGAAUGGAUCAAUCCUAGGGGUUUGAGCAAGGAGGUGGUUCUAGUUUGGGUUCUUGAUUUCUAUCAAGAGAGGGUUACUAAGGAUGUGAGGACGUAAUCCGAGUUACUAAGGAUAUGAAGAUGUAACUCAUAAGGCGGACGCGCUGAGGUUAUUCAAGGACUAGAGAUCCUGUUUACCUCAAGAUGUGACAUGGACAAGUUAGCAGGCCAUGUUCACAAAGAUACGAUGUUAUGUUUAUGAUGACUAUGUUUAUUAAGAUGUUUAUGUUAUAA